rnacentral:rRNA from 1 species
CCGGGGGGGGGGGGCCUAUACAUGCAAGUCGAACGAGUUCUGAUUAUUGAAAGGUGCUUGCAUCUUGAUUUAAUUUUGAACGAGUGGCGGACGGGUGAGUAACACGUGGGUAACCUGCCCUUAAGUGGGGGAUAACAUUUGGAAACAGAUGCUAAUACCGCAUAAAUCCAAGAACCGCAUGGUUCUUGGCUGAAAGAUGGCGUAAGCUAUCGCUUUUGGAUGGACCCGCGGCGUAUUAGCUAGUUGGUGAGGUAACGGCUCACCAAGGCAAUGAUACGUAGCCGAACUGAGAGGUUGAUCGGCCACAUUGGGACUGAGACACGGCCCAAACUCCUACGGGAGGCAGCAGUAGGGAAUCUUCCACAAUGGACGCAAGUCUGAUGGAGCAACGCCGCGUGAGUGAAGAAGGCUUUCGGGUCGUAAAACUCUGUUGUUGGAGAAGAAUGGUCGGCAGAGUAACUGUUGUCGGCGUGACGGUAUCCAACCAGAAAGCCACGGCUAACUACGUGCCAGCAGCCGCGGUAAUACGUAGGUGGCAAGCGUUAUCCGGAUUUAUUGGGCGUAAAGCGAGCGCAGGCGGUUUUUUAAGUCUGAUGUGAAAGCCCUCGGCUUAACCGAGGAAGUGCAUCGGAAACUGGGAAACUUGAGUGCAGAAGAGGACAGUGGAACUCCAUGUGUAGCGGUGAAAUGCGUAGAUAUAUGGAAGAACACCAGUGGCGAAGGCGGCUGUCUGGUCUGUAACUGACGCUGAGGCUCGAAAGCAUGGGUAGCGAACAGGAUUAGAUACCCUGGUAGUCCAUGCCGUAAACGAUGAAUGCUAGGUGUUGGAGGGUUUCCGCCCUUCAGUGCCGCAGCUAACGCAUUAAGCAUUCCGCCUGGGGAGUACGACCGCAAGGUUGAAACUCAAAGGAAUUGACGGGGGCCCGCACAAGCGGUGGAGCAUGUGGUUUAAUUCGAAGCAACGCGAAGAACCUUACCAGGUCUUGACAUCUUUUGAUCACCUGAGAGAUCAGGUUUCCCCUUCGGGGGCAAAAUGACAGGUGGUGCAUGGUUGUCGUCAGCUCGUGUCGUGAGAUGUUGGGUUAAGUCCCGCAACGAGCGCAACCCUUAUGACUAGUUGCCAGCAUUUAGUUGGGCACUCUAGUAAGACUGCCGGUGACAAACCGGAGGAAGGUGGGGAUGACGUCAAAUCAUCAUGCCCCUUAUGACCUGGGCUACACACGUGCUACAAUGGAUGGUACAACGAGUUGCGAGACCGCGAGGUCAAGCUAAUCUCUUAAAGCCAUUCUCAGUUCGGACUGUAGGCUGCAACUCGCCUACACGAAGUCGGAAUCGCUAGUAAUCGCGGAUCAGCACGCCGCGGUGAAUACGUUCCCGGGCCUUGUACACACCGCCCGUCACACCAUGAGAGUUUGUAACACCCGAAGCCGGUGGCGUAACCCUUUUAGGGAGCGAGCCGUCUAAGGUGACAAAAUG